rnacentral:rRNA from 1 species
UACGGAGGGUGCAAGCGUUAUCCGGAUUCACUGGGGUUAAAGGGUGCGUAGGUGGGCAGGUAAGUCAGUGGUGAAAUCUCUGGGCUUAACCCGGAAACUGCCGUUGAUACUAUCUGUCUUGAAUAUAGUGGAGGUGAGCGGAAUAUGUCAUGUAGCGGUGAAAUGCUUAGAUAUGACAUAGAACAUCGAUUGCGAAGGCAGCUCGCUACACUAUGAUUGACACUGAGGCACGAAAGCGUGGGGAGCAAACAGG